rnacentral:snRNA from 1 species
CCACCGAGCGGCGGGUAG